AUUGAACGCUGGCGGAAUGCUUUACACAUGCAAGUCGAGCGGCAGCACGGGGGCAACCCUGGUGGCGAGCGGCGAACGGGUGAGUAAUACAUCGGAACAUGCCCAGUCGUGGGGGAUAACACUUCGAAAGAAGUGCUAAUACCGCAUACGCCCUGAGGGAGAAAGCGGGGGAUCUUCGGACCUCGCGCGAUUGGAGUGGCCGAUGUCAGAUUAGCUAGUUGGUGGGGUAAAGGCCUACCAAGGCAACGAUCUGUAGCUGGUCUGAGAGGAUGAUCAGCCACACUGGGACUGAGACACGGCCCAGACUCCUACGGGAGGCAGCAGUGGGGAAUUUUGGACAAUGGGGGCAACCCUGAUCCAGCCAUUCCGCGUGAGUGAAGAAGGCCUUCGGGUUGUAAAGCUCUUUCGGCAGGAACGAAACGGCGAGCUCUAACAUAGCUUGCUAAUGACGGUACCUGAAGAAGAAGCACCGGCUAACUACGUGCCAGCCGCCGCCGUAAAAC
rnacentral:rRNA from 1 species